AUGAAAUUACAUUCCAGCUUUCUACAAACCCAAUGUAUUAAGUAGGUUUGAUCAAUGAUGUUCACACAAUUAAUUUUGUCUGAUUGCUGAGGAUUACUUUAUCGACAGCCACAUUUCACACUUGUGGGUUUUUUUUUUUUGUUUCCGCAGUAAAUUCCCGGCGAUGUCAGAUCGCGUGAUGGUGGAGCCGGUUCGAAGCCCCCGCUCUCAAAGCGACUUCCAGCAGACCAUGACGGGGAUCAAGAGGUUUCCCCCAGCCCACCUCCUCCCUGGUUGGUGUGCGUGGCGCAGGCAGAGAUGCUCUGGGUUUUGUCUCUAAUUAUUGCCUCACCACCCUCUGGGGCAUUGCUGUAGCUGCUGCCCACAUUCACCCCUCUUGACUCAUAAUUGCUGUUGAAGCUUCUGAGACUAGAGAUCAAAGUAUUCAUGUCAUUCAUGUUCCUGUCAAAGGUCUUAUCGUCAAAGCGCCAACUAUAUUUCGAGAGACGUCUCCUUUUCUCAAGAGCAACAGACAAACUUGCCUCUGCCUUUUUUCCCUCCCCGUUGCAGUGGUGCUGCGAGGCAGGGACAGUGCACGGAGGGCCUGGGUGCUGCUGGCCAUCACCAAACCCUGCACCCCGGGGGAUUUAACUGUUGAAUGUCCCAAGCAAAACCUCUGCAUCAAAUUUUUCUCUUUUCUGACCUGUGCUGCAAGGUAGGGCUGGAGCUCACUGCCUGCUGCCUGCAUUUCAUUUGGGCUCCCAGGAGCACGAGUGCAGCUUGCUGAGGGUCAGCACCCUGGCAGGACACCAGCAGGGUGCUGCUGUGGUCAGAGGCGAGGGUAUCCCAUGGCUUGGCUGGUAGUUGUGUUGCUCUUGCAGCACAAAGAGAGGUGAAAGGAAAAAGCUUCCUGAUUUAGUGGGGUUAAAUGCUGGUUUUAAGCUUUGGAAGCAAAUUAUCCUUAAUUUCGGUGAAACGAUUCUCGCCUGCACCCCACCGGACACCCACACAGCUCGGACACCAGCAGUGCCCGGCCAUGGCAGCACCAAUCUACCCAGCCAGCCACGUGCGAGGCGAUCCCUGCGUGGACACACGCCUCUGGAAAAGGAGGAAAGUGCUUCCAGGUGUGGUGCUCAGUCAAAAGGAGUCCCAGCCCCUUCCCCUUCAUCCUCAGUUCCCAAACGGGUGCCCUCAGAUGCUCCCCGGCCGGCUCUGUCCUGCUCUGACUUCUCUCCGAGCCCAGCAGGAAGGGGCUGGCCCGGCUGCUUCAUCCUGCCUGGUUUUAUGGUGUGGAAAUAAGUUAUUUCUGGUUAAAGGCAUUCACUGCUGACUUCUGCGCUCAGGCCCCAGGGGCAUUUUCGAGAAGAGGCACUGCAGCGUGGUGCAUUUGACUUCUGGCAAGGCCCUCUCCUCUAGAAAAUCAGCAAAGCCUUGAGCUGGAAAUACUGGGAGUGUCUUGGAAAGAUGGGAUGGGGCCUGCGGGUUCAUUCCCUGCACCCCAGCCCUGUCACUGUGCCAGCGGGCUCAGCGCUGCCUCUGCCCCCGCGCUCAGCGGGGCCAGAUCCUGCCCACCAAGAAGGGGCCGCACGCAGCGGGGCAGCCCCGCCGCCGCAGCAACUUGGGAUGAGUUUCUGCGAGUCCUCGGGAUCCGGAGCAGGAGAAGAACUUUAUAAAAUUCUCCACGACCAGUCGAGCGGAACCUAUUUUCUCUCACAAUGCAAUUAACGGCACCAACAUUUACAAAAUAUGAUUACAAGCACUUUGGUUAAGUAGAGGAAAGUAUAUUAGAUAGCAGCGAGGGGUUGAUCUUAAUGUGCAUUUUUUCGAGAGACUUGCAUUUUCUUUGUGCAAAUAAAGAGGCCCUAAAUUCUCCA
rnacentral:lncRNA from 1 species